GUGAGAAAGUAGAUUGCAAAAGUAUGGCAGAUGUAUCAAAAAGACGAAAUAAUGAAAGGGAAAGGAGUGUAAGAGGACCAACAACAACAACAGGAAACAAGCAACAGGUGAUGCACCAGGACGCUGCACAGUCAGAGGAUCGUCUUUUGCAAAAUAUUGAAAUCACCUUUCCUCUGCAAGGGUGCGCCAUGUAUUGGGACUUGUGCGGAGUUCGUCAGUCGAGUACUUUUAAAAGGGAUUUUAAUGCUAUAUCGUUUAGUAAGAGUCCUGUGUUUGAUAACGGGUUGGGAGAGCAGCAAAGUGGGCGCCUAGUGCCAGGGAACGGGUGCGGAGAACAGGGUAGCGGGUGUGAAGCGGUGAUACACUUGGGAGUGAAGCAGGCAGCACCGUCCCUGAGCUGGGCGAGCGGGAGAGAGAGACUUCAGUGGCGUUUCGACGUGGCUCUGGAGUGGACGUGCGCAGUGUGUGCGGCGUGUGACGGCGUGUGCGUGUAAACGUGCGCCCACCUGUGAAGUAAUGUUAACUCGAUGUUUAAUGAAGUGUCUCGUAUACUAGGGAACUGUGAAAAAAUCAUUAUUCAUAACUUACAAGGACAAAUUGGCAUUCAUUUAUGAAUACACUGUACUGAGUAGGAAGUGUAAUGUGCUUGCCAACAGUAACCAUCGAUCAACCUUUGUAAGUUCAACGUUUCCGUUUAAAAGGUAAGUCCCUCUAUUAUAUUUUUAGCUGUUAGGAAGAAAUUUACUCAAGAGAAAUUUGCCAGGUACACGUUUGCGAUUUCAGUAGAAAGAAAUAUAUAUGUACACGCCAUUUUCCUUUUGCCAGGUGCGUGCGUAUGUAGAGGUCGGUUAUGUAAUCCACUCAGUUCAUACUUGGGAUGACGUAACCGUGCCUCGUUGUGGAUAAAAAAAAAUCGCAUUGCUUCGUUGUCUCUUAAAUCGGCAGAAGAGGUGGUCUGAGUAAAUAUUUGGCACUUGGGUUCAUAGCGGAGCGUAUUCAGUCAACCACUUUGAAGCGUGCCCAUCAAAGUCCUACUAUUUAUUAUGGCAAACGGAUAUUGAUUGUUUUCAUUGCCUGUCAUUCGCGUGAGGAGUGACUGUGAGGCGCCUUUGUUAAGAGAAACUGAAAGGGAAGGAAAUAGGGAAACUGUGACAGAGUGAAAGCGACUGUGAGUAUUUUUGCGACAUAGAGAUCUUUCGCUUUUAAGAGAUGAUGUUAUGAUUUGCGGAUUCUAUUCUAGAACAUUAGUAAGAGCUCUAUUAAAAAAUAAACUUUGCAUUACUUUCGCUUCAGUUUUAUGCUGGCAGACACCGUAUCAAGUAGGGUUGGUGAUUCUUUUGGUAAACUAGAAAGCUAUUAAUUGCAUAAUAACCUUUAUUAUUUAUAAUCGCAGCUCAUUAUCUUUUGUUAUUAUCAUCUGGGAACACUGCACGUGAAUACAUGACCUUUCACAAGGCAUCUUUUUGUAUGAUCAAUCAUAAUAUCAAUAAUAUCAUCAGUUGGCACUUUCUCGUAUGCAGUUAAUAUUUUUAUUCACCGAAUUUGCAACUAUAAGCAGCCAAUGACAGUUGAGAAAGAGGAAAUAGGGUGAUAUGGCGGAAAUACUGACACGAAGGGACAAGGCAAAACACCCUAAUCUGCAAAAGCCAUUUCAGGGCUAAAAAUUAUUAUUUUGUCUUGUUUAUCUUUUCGAACCCUCAUCCCCUCAUCGUGUUUUCCUUCCUUAACCUCUCUUUCAGAACUCUUAGUCUAAUUUAUUCCCUUUUUACCCCGUCUUGGAUCAUAAAAUAUUACAUUUUCAA